ACGCUCGACACCUACGGGAGGUAGCAGUGGGGAAUAUUGGGCAAUGGGCGCAAGCCUGACCCAGCAACGCCGCGUGAAGGAAGAAGGCUUUCGGGUUGUAAACUUCUUUUGUCAGGGAACAGUAGAAGAGGGUACCUGACGAAUAAGCCACGGCUAACUACGUGCCAGCAGCCGCGGUAAUCUGAGGCGGGCUGGCAAGGC
rnacentral:rRNA from 1 species